rnacentral:rRNA from 1 species
GAUCCUACGGGGGGCAGCAGUGGGGAAUAUUGGGCAAUGGAGGAAACUCUUACCCAGCAAUGCCGCGUGAAUGAAGAAGGUCUUCGGAUUGUAAAGUUCUUUAAUUGGGGACGAAAAAAAUGACGGUACCCAAGGAAUAAGCCCCGGCUAACUACGUGCCAGCAGCCGCGGUAAUACGUAGGGGGCAAGCGUUAUCCGGAUUCACUGGGUGUAAAGGGAGCGUAGACGGCCAUGCAAGCCUGGAGUGAAAGCCCGGGGCCCAACCCCGGGACUGCUCUGGGAACUGUGCGGCUGGAGUGCGGGAG